rnacentral:lncRNA from 1 species
GCACCUUGGGUUCGGCGAGAAGGGACGCGCAGGAGCGCUGAACCCAGAACACGCGUGGCCGCUGCGGAAGGGCGUCCGCCCGGCGUGCGGAACGCUGAGGGGACUCUCAUCCUCUGUCUCGCCCCCUUUUUUUGACCCGGGGAUCCAGCCGCAUUAUACACGAGUGACCUUUUAAAUCUACGUCCACCCUUUACCUGCGAGAGGACUGCAGCAGGCGAGUUCCGGAAGGCUGAAUCCCCAGGUCCCAGCCCCGGACCGCGGCAACUCGCCCCUGCGGCACGCCCGGCCCGGCUGCGCCCCCACUCAGCGAUGGAGAAACAGCCCAGAUCUCCUCUUAAGCGGAAAAGAGAUUGACCUUCUAGCAGAGGCAAAGAAUGGAGUCUUCUGGGGGCAGCUGCAAAGCGUUCUCCCUAGGACAGAUGGAGCCUCCCUUUCCUCAUCUACUCUGUGGGUGGUUUCAGGGCCCACGAGUCAACAUGAGGAGUUGUGCUGGUGGUAUGUGUGUUGGAGGCUGGGCUGGCUGAUUCACAGUGACGAGGAUGUCAAUAAUAACAAGAAUGAGAAUGAUGGUACCUAAUAAAGACUUUUUUUCCCAA